GGGGGUAUAGCUCAACGUGGUAGAGCACCUAUGCUUAGAAUGUAUGAGGUCCUGGGUUCAAUCCCCAGUGCCUCCU
rnacentral:tRNA from 1 species